CCCUACGGGGCGCAGCAGGCGCGAAACCUCCGCAAUGUGCGCAAGCAUGACGGGGUCAUCCCGAGUGUCACCCGCUGAGGGUGGCUUUUGCCUGGUGUAACGAGCCGGGUGAAUAAGGGGAGGGCAAGUCUGGUGUCAGCCGCCGCGGUAAUACCAGCUCCUCGAGUGGUUGGGACGAUUAUUGGGUCUAAAGCGUCCGUAGCCGGUCGGAAAAGUUCUCCGUUAAAUCCAACGAUCCAAUCGUUGGGCUGCGGGGAAUACUUUCCGGCUUGGGGGCGGGGGAGGUCGGCGGUAGUCCCGGGGUAGGGGCGAAAUCCUAUAAUCCCGGGAGGACCACCAGUGGCGAAGGCGGCCGACUAAAACGCGCCCGACGGUGAGGGACGAAAGCUGGGGGAGCGAACGGGAUUAGAUACCCCGGUAGUCCCAGCUGUAAACGAUGCAGGCUAGGUGUUGGAACGGCUACGAGCCGUUCCGGUGCCGCAGGGAAGCCAUUAAGCCUGCCACCUGGGGAGUACGGCCGCAAGGCUGAAACUUAAAGGAAUUGGCGGGGGAGCACCACAAGGGGUGAAGCUUGCGGCUUAAUUGGAGUCAACACCGGGAACCUUACCAGGAGCGACAGUUGGAUGAAGGUCAGAUUAAAGUCUUACCGGACUA
rnacentral:rRNA from 1 species